UGCAGUCGAACGGUGAAGCAGGAGCUUGCUCUUGUGGAUCAGUGGCGAACGGGUGAGUAACACGUGAGCAACCUGCCCCGAACUCUGGGAUAAGCGCUGGAAACGGCGUCUAAUACCGGAUACGCACCAGAGCGGCAUCGUUACUGGUGGGAAAGAUUUAUUGGUUCGGGAUGGGCUCGCGGCCUAUCAGCUUGUUGGUGAGGUAACGGCUCACCAAGGCGUCGACGGGUAGCCGGCCUGAGAGGGUGACCGGCCACACUGGGACUGAGACACGGCCCAGACUCCUACGGGAGGCAGCAGUGGGGAAUAUUGCACAAUGGGCGCAAGCCUGAUGCAGCAACGCCGCGUGAGGGAUGACGGCCUUCGGGUUGUAAACCUCUUUUAGCAGGGAAGAAGCGAAAGUGACGGUACCUGCAGAAAAAGCGCCGGCUAACUACGUGCCAGCAGCCGCGGUAAUACGUAGGGCGCAAGCGUUAUCCGGAAUUAUUGGGCGUAAAGAGCUCGUAGGCGGUCUGUCGCGUCUGCUGUGAAAACCCGAGGCUCAACCUCGGGCCUGCAGUGGGUACGGGCAGACUAGAGUGCGGUAGGGGAGAUUGGAAUUCCUGGUGUAGCGGUGGAAUGCGCAGAUAUCAGGAGGAACACCGAUGGCGAAGGCAGAUCUCUGGGCCGUAACUGACGCUGAGGAGCGAAAGGGUGGGGAGCAAACAGGCUUAGAUACCCUGGUAGUCCACCCCGUAAACGUUGGGAACUAGUUGUGGGGGCCUUUCCACGGUCUCCGUGACGCAGCUAACGCAUUAAGUUCCCCGCCUGGGGAGUACGGCCGCAAGGCUAAAACUCAAAGGAAUUGACGGGGACCCGCACAAGCGGCGGAGCAUGCGGAUUAAUUCGAUGCAACGCGAAGAACCUUACCAAGGCUUGACAUAUAGAGGAAAGAUCUGGAAACAUUUCCCCCGCAGGUCUCUAUACAGGUGGUGCAUGGUUGUCGUCAGCUCGUGUCGUGAGAUGUUGGGUUAAGU
rnacentral:rRNA from 1 species